AUUGAACGCUGGCGGCAGGCCUAACACAUGCAAGUCGAACGAGUGGCGGACGGGUGAGUAAUGUCGGGGAAACUGCCUGAUGGAGGGGGAUAAGGAGGGGAAACGGUAGCUAAUACCGCAUACCAUCAGAUGUGCCCAUAUGGGAUUAGCGAGUUGGUGGGGUAACGGCUCACCAAGGCGACGAUCCCUAGCUGGGCUGAGAGGAUGACCAGCCACACUGGAACUGAGACACGGUCCAGACUCCUGCGGGAGGCAGCAGUGGGGAAUAUUGCGCAAUGGGCGCAAGUCUGAUGCAGCCAUGCCGGGUGUAUGAAGAAGGCUUUCGGGUUGUAAAGUACUUUCAGCGGGGAGGCGUUACCCGCAGAAGAAGCACCGGCUAACUCCGUGCCAGCAGCCGCGGUAAUUC
rnacentral:rRNA from 1 species